rnacentral:ncRNA from 2 species
CAGGUCGAUGCGGGAGAGUCGCGCGAAACGCGCGGCACCGAAGGAGCAAUCCUCCCCGACAAUCUCUCAGGUACGUGUACCGCAUCGGACUG